CCUACGGGGCGCAGCAGUGGGGGAUAUUGGACAAUGGGGGGAACCCUGAUCCAGCGACGCCGCGUGAGUGAAGAAGUAUUUCGGUAUGUAAAGCUCUGUCAGCAGGGAAGAAAGCAAUGACGGUACCUGACCAAGAAGCCCCGGCUAACUACGUGCCAGCAGCCGCGGUAAUACGUAGGGGGCAAGCGUUAUCCGGAAUUAUUGGGUGUAAAGGGAGCGUAGACGGCGAAGAAAGUCUGAAGUGAAAGCCCGCGGCUCAACCGCGGAACUGCUUUGGAAACUUUUUUGCUGGAGUACCGGAGAGG
rnacentral:rRNA from 1 species